CACCAUGAGUCCGCUAAUAGCUUUAGUAUUAUUUGUAUCAUCAAUCUCAAAAACUGCAGUAUGUUUUAUCCUUACAUAGUGUAACCAUAAACUUAGAAGAGUUUAGGAGGCGGUCCUCUGUGUCACCGGUGAAGGUUCAAUUGAGAGGUCUCCCAAAAGAAUGGUUAAGAACCCGUAUGGAGCUCCAUUGCAUUCUUGAUGGA
rnacentral:lncRNA from 1 species